AAAGGCAAAGAGGAAGGGCUCGUGAGCGACAGAGGGCGUCUAGACUCAGGAGAAAACAACAGAGGCAGCCCUCCACUACUACCGCUUUUGUUGAGAAGAACAACAACAAGAUAAAAAGAGGUGAUGCAGCUGUAGGCGGCAGCAGUGGUGGGGCCAAGCAGUUUGUCUUCCACAUAUAUUUAUUUCCAUAUUUAGGGGAGUGCUUUUGGUGCCUCCUCUAAAUAUGGGAAUUAAUUGUUACGUGGUAGACAAACUGUUGUCUCUUUAUUAAUACAUGUUUUAACAUUUAUUAUUUUAUAUAAUACACCUAUUACAAAUGAGGUUGCAAUACCAAUGUCACAAACUGCAGUGCUUCAAAGAUAUCAAAUGAGCCAACAAAUAAGCAUAGAUUAAAGCCUACCCAUGUUUCUUUUUGUGUGUCUUUUGAAUGAACCAAUCAGUGUUACCACACAUUGAUCCUCCAAUGCAAUACCUUGUUUGAAAUAGGUGUAUAAUAUAUAUUUUAAAAAUAUCCUAACCCGUUAUAUUUUAUUAUUCUUGAUCUAAAUAACCAAUAGGUUCUCAUGACAAUACAAUAUUUUAUUAGGUUGUGCAUGAUUUUUCAUUGCCAAAUUAUCAAUGAUAAGACACAAGCAUAUACACCACUUUCCUACUAAAAGCAAUCCCAUACUGCUGGAUCUCAGCUUUGACUUUUUCAUGUCAAAUAAUGGUGCAUUUGUACAAUGAUAAUAAAAACAAGCAUUCUA